rnacentral:lncRNA from 1 species
UCGCGAGUUAUCGUCAGGUGACUGGGGUUCAAAUGGAGAGCGGGGUUCAUUAUUUGGCAAACAAGAUUACUAUGAAGAUGUCGGGGUUCAAAUGCGGUGAUCCGGGAUCAUCCGCGCGAAAGAAAAAAUUUGUUCAGGGUUCAAGAAAAGAAAAAAGAUUAUCAAUUAGAAAGUUUCGGGGUUCAAGAAAAGUAAAAAAAAAU